rnacentral:rRNA from 1 species
AGCAGCCGCGGUAAUUCCAGCUCCAAUAGCGUAUAUUAAAGUUGCUGCAGUUAAAAAGCUCGUAGUUGAAUUUCGGGAUCAUCAUGUCGGUCGUGCCUCGGUACGUACUGGCAUUGUUGGUUUCUACCUUCUGACGAACCAUGAUGUCAUUUAUUUGGUGUCGUGGGAAAUCAGGACUGUUACUUUAGAAAAAAUUAGAGUGUUUAAAGCAGGCUCACGCUUGAAUACAUUAGCAUGGAAUAAUGAAAUAGGACGUUUGAUUCUAUUUUGUUGGUUUCUAGGAUCGACGUAAUGAUUAAUAGGGAUAGUUGGGGGCAUUAGUAUUCAAUUGUCAGAGGUGAAAUUCUUGGAUUUAUUGAAGACUAACUACUGCGAAAGCAUUUGCCAAGGAUGUUUUCAUUAAUCAAGAACGAAAGUUAGGGGAUCGAAGACGAUCAGAUACCGUCGUAG